GGGUCCCUACGGGCGGCAGCAGUGAGGAAUAUUGGUCAAUGGUCGGGAGACUGAACCAGCCACGCCGCGUGAGGGAGGAAGGUACAGAGUAUCGUAACCCUCUUUUGUCAGGGAACAAAGGCGGGGACGUGUCCCCGGAUGAGUGUACCUGAAGAAAAAGCAUCGGCUAACUCCGUGCCAGCAGCCGCGGUAAUACGGAGGAUGCGAGCGUUAUCCGGAUUUAUUGGGUUUAAAGGGUG
rnacentral:rRNA from 1 species